rnacentral:rRNA from 1 species
UACGUAGGGUGCGAGCGUUGUCCGGAAUUAUUGGGCGUAAAGAGCUCGUAGGCGGUUUGUUGCGUCUAUCGUGAAAACCUGCAGCUUAACUGUGGGCUUGCGGUGGAUACGGGCAGACUUGAGUUCGGUAGGGGAGACUGGAAUUCCUGGUGUAGCGGCGAAAUGCGCAGAUAUCAGGAGGAACACCGGUGGCGAAGGCGGGUCUCUGGGCCGAUACUGACGCUGAGGAGCGAAAGCGUGGGGAGCGAACAGG